rnacentral:rRNA from 1 species
UACGUAGGGUGCAAGCGUUAUCCGGAAUUAUUGGGCGUAAAGCGCUCGUAGGCGGUUUGUCGCGUCUGCUGUGAAAACUGGAGGCUCAACCUCCGGCCUGCAGUGGGUACGGGCAGACUAGAGUGCGGUAGGGGAGAUUGGAAUUCCUGGUGUAGCGGUGGAAUGCGCAGAUAUCAGGAGGAACACCGAUGGCGAAGGCAGAUCUCUGGGCCGUAACUGACGCUGAGGAGCGAAAGCAUGGGGAGCGAACAGG